rnacentral:tRNA from 1 species
UUAUUGGUAGGUUAUUUAAACUGACAAAUUGUGGUUUUGUUGAAUACAAUUUUUGUACCAGUAAA